rnacentral:snRNA from 1 species
GGAUGUGAGGGCGAUCUGGCUGCGACAUCUGUCACCCCAUUGAUCGCCAGGGUUGAUUCAGCUGAUCUGUCCCCUUCCUCCCUCACCACUCCAUGUGCUGCGUCCCUCCCGACGCUGCGCACUCGGUUGAAGAGGAAGGCCUUCCACAAUAGAGACGGACGUAUAGGAGUAGCUGCGCUCCCCUGCUAGAAUCUCCAAACAAGCUCUCAAAGACAAACUGAAAUAUUUGUUCUUCCUAAAUAUAAAUCCCACAUUUUAUUUUUCCUAUA